GAUCAUGGCUCAGGAUGAACGCUAGCGACAGGCUUAACACAUGCAAGUCGAGGGGCAGCGGGGAGUAGCAAUACUUCGCCGGCGACCGGCGCACGGGUGAGUAACACGUGUGCAACCAACCCCGUACCGGGAGAUAACCCGCGGAAACGUGGACUAACAUCCCAUAACACUCUAGAGCCGCAUGGCUCUGGAUUUAAAAUUCCGGUGGUACGGGACGGGCACGCGCGACAUUAGGUAGUUGGCGGGGUAACGGCCCGCCAAG
rnacentral:rRNA from 1 species